GCCUGGGUGGCUCAGUCGGUAGAGUGACCGACUUCGGCUCAGGUCACGAUCUCACAGCUCGUGGGUUCGAGUCCCACAUCGGGCU
rnacentral:tRNA from 1 species